GGGCGACUUGGCUGCGACAUCUGUCACCCCAUUGAUCGCCAGGGUUGAUUUGGCUGAUCUGGCUGGGCGGGUGUCCCCUUCCAUCCCUCCCAAAGCUGCAUGCUGGGUCGAAGAGGAUGACCUUCCCCGAUAGAGGAGAGCACCGUUCUUAGGUCAAGGGUAUACGAGUAGCUGCGCUCCCCUGCUACAACCUCUAAACAAGUUAUUAGGAAAGGCUGAAGAAUAAGCAGAAGUUAGCCAGGCAAAG
rnacentral:snRNA from 1 species